CGGAACGGGUGGAGUAACGACGUGAGGGAAACCCGCCUCAAAGAGGGGGACAACAGUUGGAAACGACUGCUAAUACCGCAUAAGCCCACGGCUCGGCAUCGAGCAGAGGGAAAAGGAGUGAUCCGCUUUGAGAUGGCCUCGCGUCCGAUUAGCUAGUUGGUGAGGUAACGGCCCACCAAGGCGACGAUCGGUAGCCGGACUGAGAGGUUGAACGGCCACAUUGGGACUGAGACACGGCCCAG
rnacentral:rRNA from 1 species